AUGCUGGCCAGGUGCCCCGCCUCCGCGUCCACCUUCCUGUGGAGUCCCCAGAACCGCGGUGGCAAGAUCGAGCUGUCGCCGUUGCCGAUCGAGCAGGACCUGCUCAUAGACUGCAUCUGCCUGCUCUCCAACAAGCCCACCGCUUCAAACUGCGUCGUGCUUCUGGUCGAGCCUUACGCCACCUUCAUAUGGUACUGUCACAUCGGAGGCGAUCAGUGGCAGAAGCACGACUACGACAUCGGAACCCAGCCGGCCCUCGACCUGCAAUCCGAGGACAAAGAGGUCAUAACUCCGAUCGCGGCAUGUGGGGGCAAGUUUUAUUUCAACAGCACACAAAUCGAGCUUGGUGUUCUUGAUUUCUGCCCCGCUCCCAUGUUCAGUUCCAUCAAGAUCAACGACGUGGUCGACGAUAUCUACGGUGUUGAACUGGCUCCAGCCCAAGUUUUUCUGGUGGAAUCGGACGGGGAGCUCUAUAUGGUUUCCCUGUUAUGGGCGAAAACAAUCUAUGGUGCAAGAGGUCAUAGGAUGGAUUUUUCAGAGCAGAGAUGGAGAAAAGUGUAUGAUCUUGGUGAUCGAGCGUUCCUCUUAUCCCUGUUCAACUCUGGUGCUCUCUGUUCCGUCGGCAAGUCUGGACUGCGAGAGAACUGCAUCUACAUGGCCUAUCUUUGGGAGCAGACCUUGCACAUUUUCAGUGUAAAAGAUGGUAGUAUGGAGACGCACAAGCUGGAUGAUGCUCCCUCCUCAGAUAAAGCAUUCUGGAUGCUCCCUGCCAAUCAUAUAGAUUAG
rnacentral:rRNA from 1 species